UACGUGGGCAGUAUAUGGAAGCUGCCAGGCUAGGGGUCAAAUCAGAGCUGUAGUUGCUGGCCUACCCACAGCCACAGCAAGGCCAGAUCUGAGCCGCAAUCUGCAACCUACACCACAGCUGAUGGCAGCUCCCCACCCUUAACCCACUGAGGCUAAGGAUCGAACCCGCAUCCUCAUGGAUAAUCCAGUUUGUUAUUGCUGAGCCACAAUGGAACUCCAGAAUCACAGUAUUUGAGAGCUGGGGUUUAACUUUCUUUAACAGGAUUGGAGCCUAGGGUCCAAUGUCUGUAGUUCCCAACACCUGCCUUGCAUAGCAUAGACACUAAUUAAUGCUGCAUAUGAAGCUUCCAAACACUCUCCAAAAUGUCUUACGGCACUUUCCUUAAACCUCCUCUGUGUCCUAACAAGCAGCGUAUUGAUGUAUUUCUCCCUUACUUCCCGGCUAAGCGAUUUCUAGAGUGGACAAGUUACCAUUUUGAUUCUCUUGGUUAGUAACACCCAUUAGCACCUAACCAGGUAACAGCUGAAAAAAGAUGAGGUUUCCCCCCUCCCCUACAGGAUCAGCCUGGAGACUCCAAGUGUCCUGGUCUCUCCAUUCCCGCAAACUUAGACUCAUUUAAUAACUUUCCUCUCGCAUCAAAGCAGGUGCGAAUGCCGGUCAGCCAAAGACCUCGAAUUUCCGCGGCCCCUGGACAGGUUCUCCACCCCUCAGAAAGACGGCGAGGAGGACCCAGGCCUGUGACUCAGGUUAGCCCUUUCCCUCAAAUAUCACCAGCGGAGGCUUUGCCCAUCUUUUUGCCGUAGACUGUUUUCUCAGUGAGCCGAUGUACUCCCUCAAGUAACCGAUCCCCUAUUUCACUUUUCAAGCCUCCAGACUCUGCGUCCAUCCGCCUCGGCCUUCCUCCCUCGGUUAACGCGACAGUUUCUCGGGGAGAUCGCCCAAGGCGCGUGGCAGGGCGGUUAGGCGACCAACGGUUUCCACCGCGAGGAGGGGGGAGCGGGCAAAGCGGCGGGAACCAGUCGAGCCGGAGGCAGCCGACGUGGGGCGGGGCCAGCCCCGGGAAGGAUCGCGAAGGAGCUGGGAAGCCCCGCCCUUUCCGUAGAUAUCUCUAGAAAGCCGCGCAGGAGCCCGAAAACAAAGAGUGCGCACGCGCGGCGGCUGGGCCCGGGCAUUUUGCUGCGUCACCAGCCGCCGCCCGGCCUCACCACCCCUCGCUCGCACGCACGCACGUUCAUUCUCCGUUCUCGCGCCCCUUUUCCUACACUUUCCUUUUCUCCCCGACCGGAGGAGUCGCUCUGCCCGCGCGGUGCAUUCUGGGAACCCAGGUCUAGCCCGCCGCGCCGCCGCCGUCGCUUGAGGGAAAAGCGAAAAGAGGCCGCAAUCGGGGAGAGGACGCCAGAGUCGCCACCGGAGAGGAGUCGACUGCCUACCAGCUGCCGCCGGAGAGGCCCGCCCACCCGUUCGCCCGUCCCCUUGCCCCGUUCACGAUGUGAGUGCGACACGCCACCCAGGGAAGGUCGCCCUGGAGGGAGGCCGAGGCCGCGCGGGGGGGUGCCGGGAAGCCAUCCCUUCCCCUCCCCCGCUUUCGGCUCCCUCGGCUUUUUCCCCCUCGGUAGCAUUCGUUCUUGCUUGGGGGUGGGAGGUCCAGUAUCCUUGUUCCGGUUACCGUUGGCGGGUGGAGGACAUUUUUCCUCCAGAUGUCCGCUUCCCCCAUCUCUAAACCUUCCCUUUGCUUCCCCGUGCCGGAAACCCCACUUUCCCCCUUCGGCAGUGAGGGCUGCUCCCAACUCUUCGUAACUUAGCCUUAGGCCUUAAUCUCCUGUGAGCUUUUGGCCACGCGGGCGCCUCGGAGGCGUGGACCCUCGUGGGCUGCCACUCCGCUCCUAGCGACCUAGGUCUGCUUCUGCCGCUGUGUGAUGCUGGGACCAGGCCCGGGGACAAGUGCACCUGCGGUGGGUCCUACCCCACAGCUGCUGGUGCUCUUCGUAAGGCACCACGCGGCCCUCCACUGCGAGCGACAGGCAGCCUGCUUCUGCAAAGUGGUACGAUCGAAGGGACUAUGUCUUCAUUGAAUUUUGUGUUGAAGACAGUAAAGAUGUUAAUGUAAAUUUUGAAAAGUCCAAGCUUACAUUCAGUUGUCUUGGAGGAAGUGAUAAUUUUAAACAUUUAAAUGAAAUUGAUCUUUUUCACUGUAUUGAUCCAAAUGAUUCCAAGCAUAAAAGAACGGACAGAUCAAUUUUAUGUUGUUUACGAAAAGGAGAAUCUGGCCAGUCAUGGCCACGGUUAACAAAAGAAAGGGCGAAGCUUAAUUGGCUUAGUGUGGACUUCAAUAAUUGGAAAGACUGGGAAGAUGACUCAGAUGAAGACAUGUCUAAUUUUGAUCGUUUCUCUGAGAUGAUGAACAACAUGGGUGGUGAUGAGGAUGUAGAUUUACCAGAAGUAGAUGGAGCAGAUGAUGAUUCACAAGACAGUGAUGAUGAAAAAAUGCCAGAUCUGGAGUAAGGAAUGUGUCAUCGCUGGAUGUUGAGGAAGAAAAAUAACUUCUCUUCAAAGGUUUCAUAAUUAAGAGAAUUCCUGAGUUGAUAGCUCUAAAGGCAGAUUCUGUAUUUGCCUACUUUAACCCAUUUUUCAACCUGUUUGUUUUUUUAAAAAGGCUUCACUAAGGGUUGAUAUGUACCAUUGUAUGGGGCAAUUUUAAGUCAGCUAAGGCAAUAACCUUAUGCAUGAACAUUUCCCAGACUGCCAUGAUGCUGUUGAGGCCUUAGGCAAUUGAUAAAGCAGUUGUGAUAAAUAAAAACAUUUCACCUAAGUCUCCUUUACUUCAUAACAUAGAUACUGACAUGAUAGAAAGCUCUUGGCUUAGGGAAAGUAACUAAAUUUUAGAUUUUAGAAUAUGGACUCAGAGUGGCUGAAACAAAUACCUUAAUCUGGUAACCUGUUGUUCCUCUGGUAUAUCCUUCAGGAUUGUUCCACUAAAGUUUAUUUUUCAAGAAAUUUACUUCACAUUAUUGUACGUAAGUGAUCACUUGUCAGUGUUCCAGAUGUAUCUUAGCUAAAACUAGUGAAUGCCCUAACUUAGAUGGUUUUGAAGCCUGUACAUUUGGUAUUGUUUGACCCUUAAACUUUUACAUCUCUUAGCAUGGAGGACGAAGAAAGGCUGUACAUUGUUGCUUGAAAGUCUGUACAUUUAGACCAAAUUUGUAUUUGCACUGUCAGUAUAGCAGAUGAGUGGGAAAAAUGUUAAUACACUAUUGGAUUUUUUUUUUUUUUUUUUUUUUUUUUUUGAUUCAGCUUGUACCUGGGCUGAAAACCUCAAUUUUGUUCAUGACAGUGGGGAUUUUUUUUUUUUUUUUUUUUUUUUUUAAUGUCUACAUUCUUUCUAAUAAACUGUUGGAAGACUUCUUGGCUAUCCUUUCAAGUGUCUGGUUUACUGUAAUUUCAUGUAUUGCCAUUUACUGGAAUGAGUUUUUAGUUUUACUUGAGGAAGAAUUUGGGAAUAUUCCUCUGUUUGGAAAAAAAAGAAAGAGGCUUGCUGUAAUAUCACAGGAAACCUUUUAAAAGUGGAUCUGUAAUAGAAGAUUGUAGAUGCACUUUGCAACAGUUGGAAAAGUGUUGUGAUUUGAUUGAAAUAAAACUAAAUGUGUUGUCCUCCUCUAAA